UACGUAGGGGGCAAGCGUUGUCCGGAAUCAUUGGGCGUAAAGCGCGUGUAGGCGGCUUGGUAAGUCUGCUCUGAAAGCCCGGGGCUCAACCCCCGGGAGGCGGGUGGAUACUGUCAAGCUCGAGUCCGGAAGAGGAGUGUGGAAUUCCUGGUGUAGCGGUGAAAUGCGCAGAUAUCAGGAGGAACACCAAUGGCGAAGGCACUUUACUGGGCUAUUACUAACACUCAGAGACGAAAGCUAGGGUAGCAAAUGGG
rnacentral:rRNA from 1 species